GUCUUCUGGGUAAUGACUGUGUUCCUGUCUUGGUGGCCAUGUUUGUUAUAAGAUGCCUGUUUCGGUAAAUGAAUGAUGCUGAAAACAGUCAUUCUGAGUGAGGAAAACAGACUCAUAAGAGAAAAUCUAAAAAGUUUUCCUUAAUCUGUGGAUAACGGCUUUCAAUCUAGAGGAAUUGAGUGCUGAAUGGUGAGCAACUGCAUGAAGAGGCCGGGGACCAGAUUGUCAGCCUCCCGCGACAGCAAACGCCCUUCCAUAUCACUAGGAGCAUCCAAACCCAGAAUCAAGGACUUAAGAUCAAGAAGCCAAACUACAUUGCAUUCCCUUAACCCAUCUUGUGCUACAUAGACUCCAAGAGGUGAUUCCUGGCUACACUGGUGAGCAUGACUAUUCUCUAUUGAUCUAUACAAAUGUCAAUAUCUUUCAUAAAUGUCCUCAUGUAUACUCCUAAUGUAUGCACAUCACUUAAAGAGUAUAGCAGAUACAUAAAAUCAGACAGCAAACACGGCGUACUCCUCAUCUUGACUCUCUGAUAUGUUUUAUAAGAAGCAGAGCUGAAUGUGAUUCUUUAUUGCCUCCUCCUUUUGAAAGGGUGUGUGCCAUAUUCUCUAGCCUUGAAAGAAUCCUCAGGAAGGGGUCAUUCAGGUCAGUUCCAGUUCAAGGGCCUCUGGACCUUGUUACUGAAGGGCAUGGUGUCUUCAGCAGGAGAGACUUCCACUCACAAGGGGAAGCAAAAACAAAAUCAUUAAGCUGCAUUUUGGGGGAGUCUCUUAGAU